GUAAAUGGGAGCGGGAGGUGGCCCUUGGCUGGCGGGCUGGGGCUGCUGGAGUCCCCAGAUCCGAAGGGUGCAAGGGUGCAAGGGUGCAAGGGUGCAAGGGUGCAAGGGUGCAGAGCUGAGGCCGAUAGACACUGCCUAACAGGACCGAGGUGGAGGGAUCCCGGCCCCAGAGAGUGACAGAGGCCUUCAUGGGACCUCGCUGAGGGACCUGAGGACAUUCAACGCCCAGACAGACCAGGGGCGCACAGGCUGGGGUGUGGAGGGGACGCCUGACUGUAAAGAGGCGCAGGCAUCCCCUGUGACCUUGCAGGCACUAGAGCUGGUGGGAAGGGACAGCUCACCAGCUUAGGGGGAGCCCCACGCCGCAUGGGGGCGGGAGGGGGGCACAGGAGGCCAAGGCCAGGGAGGGACAAGCCUGGAAGAGAGCUGUCCAGACUCUUACCACACCCAGCCUAGGACAGCUCCCGCCCGCCCACAGCUGAGGGUGGGAGCCCCAAACUACCCGGUCCUUGGGAAUCCCAUAGGAGGACCCUGCUCAGGUUGGGCCCCUGGAGUCAUCAACCCUGCUGGCUGUGCUCUCCAGAUCCCGGGCAAGACCUGGUGUGCCUUGCAGGCCAGCAAGUGACUGGCUCACGGGCCUGGCAGUCCCGGGACUGAAAAACAACCCCGCAGGUAGCAGGUAGCGCACCGCACCGUGUCUACCCCGGUUCCGCCAUGUGUUUGAAUAGCAGGGACCUGGAAACAGCCCAAGUGUCCUCCGAAGGGUCAAGACAUCGACAAGCAACAGGAAUUCGUCAAUCCAGGCUGUGACACACAGCCAGCGGAGACGGCAGAUACAGGUGGCUUUACCACUGGGACUUCUUCCUUCACCAGCCUCCAACGGCUCUUUCCUUCCCUGUCUGAAACAACCCGGCUCUUUCCUUCCCUGUCUGAAACAACCCGAGGUGGACAACACUAUACUGACCCCCUUGCACUGUAGAUGAGGGAGCUCGAGUCCAGGCCCCUGUUCUACUCGCAACACACAGAGCUUGAUUCUUGAAUGCUGCAUGAUGCAUGUUUGCAUGCAUUUAAGGUGCAAGAAAUGUGUAAGGCUUCCUCCAUCCUCCACGGGAGUUCCUUCAGCUCAGGAGGGAAACAAAUCAACGGCUCCACGGAUGUCCCUGAAAAUGAGCAGAUGCCCCCUUCGUCCCUCCUUCCCUCCCUCCCCCACCACAGCAGAAAAAUAAUGAGAAUCAAUAAACACUG
rnacentral:lncRNA from 1 species